UGGCCCGCGGCCUAUCAGCUUGUUGGUGGGGUAGUGGCCUACCAUGGCUUCGACGGGUAGCCGGCCUGAGAGGGUGACCGGCCACACUGGGACUGAGACACGGCCCAGACUCCUACGGGAGGCAGCAGUGGGGAAUAUUGCGCAAUGGGCGGAAGCCUGACGCAGCGACGCCGCGUGAGGGAUGACGGCCUUCGGGUUGUAAACCUCUUUCAGCAGGGACGAAGCGCAAGUGACGGUACCUGCAGAAGAAGCACCGGCCAACUACGUGCCAGCAGCCGCGGUAAUACGUAGGGUGCGAGCGUUGUCCGGAAUUAUUGGGACGUAAAGAGCUCGUAGGCGGUGUGUCGCGUCGGCCGUGAAGACCUGGGGCUUAACUCUGGGCUUGCGGUCGAUACGGGCAACUUGAGGGUUGGCAGGGGAGACUGGAAUUCCUGGUGUAGCGGUGAAAUGCGCAGAUAUCAAGGAGGAACACCGGUGGCGAAGCGGGUCUCUGGGAUACUGACGCUGAGGAGCGAAAGCGUGGGGAGCAACAGGAUUAAUACCCUGGUAGUCCACGCCGUAAACGUUGGGCGCUAGGUGUGGG
rnacentral:rRNA from 1 species